UCUUAACAGGCCCAGUUCUGGAGAGGAUUUCGCUUCUGUUGGAAGCCAUCCCUCAAAAGCAAACAUGCAGUGGAAGAAAUGAAUCACAGCAACGGUGCAAGACCCACUCGAGCACGCUCCGCUAUCACAGGAAAAACAAAAUCACCACGUUAGCCUUAUCACACACGACAACCGGCGGCUCUUUCUGAGAUGGACUUGGGGAAGAGGAUGGUCCACUGGCUCCCCCUGCGGCGGCUGGGCUGGUCAUACUUCAGUUGCUUUCAGAUUCCAGGUAUCAGGAUGCUGUUCACAUAGCUAUGCAACUGACUUGAAGAUACUUCAGUCUCCUUUCCCAGAAUGGCUUCCAACAAGGCAUCAUGAAUGAAAAUGUACUGCUCCUAAAAGCCUCCCUUGCAGCUCAAGCAGACACCACCUUCCUUUGAGGUUGAGGCAGAGGCCUGAAACCAACUCAUGGAUGGGAGAACAGACAAGUGUCUGGCACAGGAGCUGGGAUCUCGACACCAGAACCAGAUCUGCUGAGGCUUCCUGGGGGGAGUUUCUCCUUGUUCUUGACACUUGUAACUUGGUUCUCUUCCUCUCCCAGUAAUUGACUCUGCUAGCAGCCAUUAUCCUUUCAAUAAACCCAUUUUUGCACAA